AAUAAAAAGGAAUGAACACUGAUACACACAAAACACAGGGGUGAACCUCAAGUGCAUGAUGCUAAGUCAAAGAAGCUAGACUCAAAAGCUACCAGCUGUCUGAUUCCACUUACCUGACAUUCUGGAAAAGGUUGCCUGCUCUCCCUCUGACUCCGGCACCAACUGCUGAGUGCUUCAAGACACCCCCAGUCUCGUCUCUUACUGCGGUGCUCCCUCCACACACCCAACCAGACCAGACCGCCCCUCACCCGCCGCUGCCAAGCAGUAGGGGCCCAGCCUUCCUCGCCCCAAGGCCUCCACUUCAAAUCCUUCCCCUCCACCCAGACCCACCGGAUGGAUCCCAAAUGAGUUCUGGAGGCCAAGAAGUCCAAGAUCAAGACGCCAGCCAACUCAAUAUCUGGUGAGCGCUCUCUCCCUGGCUUGCAGAGAUGGUCACCUUCUGACCUGCUCCAAUCUGAACCCCCGUCUUCUGCAUCUGCGUAGAACUGAUACCCUGGGAACUUUCUUCACCAUCGUCUAGGUCAGGUGUCAACAAAUUAUGGUCUGUGGGCCAAAUCCAGCCUGCCACGUGUUUUUAAGUAAAGUUUUAGUGGGACGCAGCAUUCUCAUUAUUUAUGUAUUGUCUUCUUUCGUGCUACAAUGGCGGAGUUGAGUAGCUGUAAUAGACCAAAUGGCGUAUAAAACCAAAAAUAUUUACUAACUGGUCCUUUACAGGAAAAGUUUGGUGACUUGCAAUCUAGGUGAUUCUUUCACUUCUUUACUGUACUAGUUGAUUUGUUUCCUGAAUCCCACGUCUUCCUCCUUCCUGAUUUACUCUUUUUGGUGAAGUACAUCUUCUGGUAGCUUCCUGAGAAAGGGUAUAUGAGAUGUACCUUUUUUUGGAGAACUUGCAUGUCUGAAAACGUCCUUUCCUGCUCUCACAUUUUAUUGAUGGCUUAGCUGGGUACAGCAUUUUAGCAUGGAAGUCACAGUCUUUCAGAAAUUAGAGAGCUUUGCUUCACUGUCAUCUAGUCUCUAGGGUUAUAACAGAAAAGUCUUAAGUUAUUUUGAAUUUGGAUCUCCUGUAUGUGACUCUUUUUUUCCUUCUUAGAAGCCUAUAGGAUCUUUUCUUUGUCCUCGGUGUUCUGAAAUUUUAUGACAAUGUGGCUUGGAGAUGGUGCGUCUCCAUCACUGUGCUGGGCAGCGGGCUUUUUCUGUCUGGAAAGUCACAUCCUGCAGUAAUGGGGCAUUUCCCUGAAUGAUUCUGUUCAUCAUUUCUUCUCCCUCUUUUUCUCUGUUCCCUAUUUCUGGAAUGUUCAUUGAACAGAUGGAUGUCUUGGACUGGUCCUCUACUUUUCUUGUCUUUUCUAUCAUAUUCUGGGACAAUUCUUCAACUUUAUCUUCCAAUCUGAACCUUGAGUCUUAUUUCUUCUAUCAUGUUUUUAAUUUCAUGCUGUUAAUUUAAUUCAAUUAAAAAAGAGCUCCUUUUCCCCCCUUCCGAAUGUUUCUUUUUGAAAGUGCCUAGAUCUUGUAAUACACAUACUUUCUUUAAAAAAGAAAUUCUCUGAGGAUAUAAAAAAAUAGUUUCUUCUCCUUGUUUUGUUCUAGUUGCUUUCCUGUUUGGUUUUGCUAUUUCACGUUCGAGGCUUUCCUCUUGGUUGUCUCUUUAUAUAGGACAGUGAAAUGUUAAAAGACUGAUUUUUAGUGAAAUCCUAAAAAGCUCUGCUUGGGUGGGUGGAGCUCAUUGUCUGCAAGCUUUAUUGUAGGGAAAUACAGCUGAGCUGUUGGUUGGGAAAUCCUUGAGGUUAUUAGCUUUAAAUCUUCUUUACCGCUCAGAUUCCUCAGAGAAAGAUUUUCCUAUCUUUGGACUCAAGGGUAUAGGCUUGGCUACUAGAAUUCUGAGGUUGGCUGGGAAAAGAAAGCUGGGACUCUGAAUGUUCGGCCAGUAUUCAACGUGCCAGCAGCAUUCACUCAACCUCCCCAAAGGGGCCACUACCACAACUGUGUUUGGCGUCCCCUAGUUCAGACAGCCUUUCCUUUAUCCUGUCCCAAGGAUAAAUUGCUGGUCUUCUACUACGUUAUGGAAGGGGCAAUCUUUUUAAAUAAAUUUUCAACCAAUACAGUUAGUCUCUCCUUCCCCCACCUCUUCCCCCACUUUACAGAGUUACCUGCUGCUGUCCAUUUCUGAACUUCUUUAGGAUCCUGCUGUGUAAACUGGGUUGUUUCUUGGCUUUCUCGGGCGUUGGCUCAGGACUCAGCUUUCUCAGGACUGCUAAGUCAGUUACCACUCAUCCAUCUGCUUCUCAGCUUCCAAAUUUUUGUUGCUGUUGUCUCCUCUCCCAUUCUCUUUGUCCUUGUGGGUUUAUGUUUUUUUAAAAAAAAUCUCUUCACUGUUGUUUUAGUGAGGUUUUGGGAGGGAAUGAAAGUAAAUGUGGGUAUUUGAUCCUCCAUCUUUAUUUGGAACCUCUUUAUAAUUAAAUAUCUUUUUUUUAACUUCCAUUUAAUAUUACAGCAUAAACUUUUCCCAUGUUCUUACACAGUCUUUGUAACAACUUUAGUAAUUGUACAACAUUCCACUGAGUCGCUACCAUAGCUUACCCAAUCAUUACCCUAUUUUCAGAAGUUCAGAGUUGUUUCUGUUUUGCGGGGGGGACUAGCGUUUUCUGGAGUCACCUUUCUUCCCUGUAUUUAGGGAAUGGCCGCUGACAUUAUUCUCCUCUCUCUUAUCAGUCCACGGUUUCAUCACCUUGUGUCUUGAUUACAGCACUACCUUGUGCAAAUUUCAUUCAUCUUCAACCAGCACAAUGACGCAGCACUAAUCUUUCUAAAAUGUCACCUUUCUCAUGACACUUCAGAGGAAACCUAACACCUACAAUUCAUUUGCAACUGGCAUUUGUGGGUCCCCAUGGUUUGAGUCCACCUCACCUAUUCAAACUCACCACCCUUUCCCCAAAUGUCCUCCUUCACACAAUGGCCUGCUCUCCUAACCACAGCCCAGGCCCAUCCACACGGCCAAUGCCAGCCACACGCACCUUCAUGUACACCCUCUCCUGCAAGAGGCCUCCCCCACGUGACUCUGCUUACGCUCUUUCUUCCUUCACAUGAUACACUGAAAACUGCUGAGGCUCAGCCUUCUACAUGGACUGAGAGCUCCUCCCCUGUGUUCUCCUCUCUGGCACUGCCCCUACACUGCCCUCAUCCUACCACCAUGGGGCUCCAGCCCAGCACCAGAAACACAGUGUUGCUGAACAGGGACUCACUGAAUGGAACGGACACGCAUGUAAGUUGUUACCUUGCCCUUCGGAGUUAGCGUCCAGAUCACGGAGAAGGUGAGCUUGUCGGUCAUGGGGUUGAGGCUGCACAGUUCCUCACACAGCAGCCUGGGAAGCAUGGGGACAACCUGCAAGCAGAGAACAGGCCAUGAGCAGCUUUUUCCAAUCUGCAGGAGCUAACCACAGGCUCAGAAGCAGCCCGGGGGGCAGAGCUUUGGUGAACAGCUGGAGCUUCCAGAGUGAGCUGAACAGGGAGGAAACUCUUUUCCCUGAAGAUACAGCAGAAAGACCACACCAUCUGAUAACCUUCCAUAAGCCUUUAGGGUCAAAUGGGAUGUGAAUGUGAAAGUUCGCGGGCCUCUCACUGUUGUGGCCUCUCCUGUUGCGGAGCACAGGC